rnacentral:rRNA from 1 species
UACGUAGGGUGCAAGCGUUGUCCGGAAUUAUUGGGCGUAAAGAGCUCGUAGGCGGUUUGUCGCGUCUGCUGUGAAAACCCGAGGCUCAACCUCGGGCCUGCAGUGGGUACGGGCAAACUAGAGUGCGGUAGGGGGAGAUUGGAAUUCCUGGUGUAGCGGUGGAAUGCGCAGAUAUCAGGAGGAACACCGAUGGCGAAGGCAGAUCUCUGGGCCGUAACUGACGCUGAGGAGCGAAAGCAUGGGGAGCGAACAGG